GGAGCCAAGAAAGCGCUGGUACUUGAUGGCUGUUUGAGAGAAGGAAACAUUUCUCUGAUGCUAACUGGUGCUUCUGAGAGCAAGAUGUCAGGGAGGAGAGAAGCAUGGCCUCUUGAGACAAACCCAGCUGCUAAGAAUGUAAGCUCUGGUCUCACUUUGCGUUCCAGCCACACACCUAAGUGGCCCUUCCUAUGACCAAAGUUGAAGAUUAUGGGCCUGUGAUUUUGCAGAGUGUCUCAGAUUGGUUUGUUUGAAGUGUCUGCAUGGCAGAAACUUUUUGGCAGGAAUAUCAACAAAGUGAAGCUGUGUUCUCCUUACUGCACCCCAUCAGGAGGAUUCCUCACUGAUUAAAAUCUGAUUACAAAACAAGGGACCUAGAGAGACCUUCACUUCACUACUUCUCUACAGAUGCCUCCUGCUGCUUCCAACUUUUCUCCUUUAAGGCAGGGUGAAUCCAAAUCAUGGUCUCACCCCUGAAGGAGGCACCAAAGCAGUUUCGUUGCCCUGCAAAAAGCUUCUAGAGGAGCUCAUCUGAACGCUUGAAGAAACCAACCGCCUUUGCAAUUAUCUAAAAGGAAUUGAGUCAUUUUAACAAGACAUUAUUUCAGCCAUCCAUAGUCACAAUCACCUCUUUGAAAAAAAAAUACUGGUGGUUUGUUGUUUU